AUCAGUACGUACAAGAAGAAAUUAAAUUUAAAACAAAGUUAGAUCGAAAAUGGCAAGCAGAAUACCAAGAAGGAAUUUGGGUUCACAGGGUUUAGAGGUCUCAGCUCUGGGUUUAGGCUGCAUGGGCAUGUCCGAUCUCUACGGAGCUCCCAAACCUGAACCCGACAUGAUCAAGCUCAUCCACCACGCCAUUAACGCUGGUGUUACCCUCCUUGACACCUCCGAUGUCUACGGCCCCAAAACCAACGAAAUCCUUCUCGGCAAGGCUUUGAAAGGGGGGAUGAGGGACAAAGUGCAGCUCGCUACCAAAUUUGGGAUCAAACUCGACGGUUCGUGGCAGGUCCAAGGAGAUCCAGCUUAUGUGAGGGCUGCUUGUGAGGCUAGCCUCAAGCGACUUGAGGUCGAUUGCAUUGAUAUCUAUUAUCAACACAGGAUUGAUACUAGUGUGCCAAUCGAAAUCACGAUGGGUGAAUUAAAGAAGUUGGUCGAAGAAGGUAAAAUUAAAUAUGUUGGAUUAUCAGAAGCAUCGGCAUCAACCAUUAGAAGAGCACACGCUGUGCAUCCAAUUACUGCCGUACAAAUGGAAUGGUCCUUGCAGUCAAGAGAUGUUGAAGAAGAAAUUAUUCCCACUUGCAGAGAACUUGGGAUAAGCAUUGUUACAUAUAGUCCUCUAGGACGUGGUUUUUUCUCACAUGGUCCAAAGAUGUUAGAUGUGACAACUCAGAAUUUCAAGGUUAGUGCCAGUUCGAUCGUGACCUUAAAUUCUCAUUAUUCAUUUCCAACGUUUCCUCUCAUGUUAAACUUGUUAGACGGUUGGGCCGAUUAUGCUUUUUGGCCAUUUAUAUCGUAUAUAUGUUUCAAACAACAUACACACAUUACAUUUGGGCCGCAUGUGGGCAUCUUGGCACACGCAUACGCUUUGGAUAACUUUGUUAGUCAUGGAUUUGGUAAAGCCCAAGUGAGGGUGUGAGAAUUGGGCCAAGACCUAUUAUUAAAUCACUAAACAUGCAAACCAAUAUUCAUAACCUACAUUUAUAAAAGUAAUUGCUUCAAUAUUUGACAAAACUUAUUAAUUGUUCAGCACAUGGCCGACAUUAAACUCCAAUCAACACCUAGUUGCAUGUGAAUUUUUAUGUAUUGCAUUAGAUGGGCCACACCUGUGUCAAAGGUUUAUCGGACCAAACCCAAACCGAGCCCACCUUUCCCCCUAUUAUGUACGUGCAUCAUGAUGUAAAAGAUCCCACAACACCUUUGCAAACCCUACGGCAAUCGGCAACAAUCAGUAGCAGCUUCCUCCACCAUCACGCACACUACCUCUCGUCCUUCUCUCUCCCUUGGCAACUGGAGCACAUCACCACUCCUCCGUCACCGAUCGCCGGACGUGAUUGAUUAACUGA